rnacentral:rRNA from 1 species
CAAGUCGAACGCGAAAGUUCCCUUCGGGGAGCGAGUAGAGUGGCGCACGGGUGAGUAACACGUAGGUAAUCUACCUUUGGAUUGGGAAUAACAACCGGAAACGGUUGCUAAUACCGAAUAAUGCAGCGGCACCUAAUGGUGACAGUUGUUAAAGCGGGGGAUCGCAAGACCUCGCGUCUAAAGAGGAGCCUGCGGCGGAUUAGCUAGUUGGUAAGGUAACGGCUUACCAAGGCGAUGAUCCGUAGCCGGCCUGAGAGGGCGGUCGGCCACACUGACACCGACAUACGGGUCAGACUCCUACGGGAGGCAGCAGUCGGGAAUUUUGGGCAAUGGGCGAAAGCCUGACCCAGCAACGCCGCGUGAAGGAUGAAAUCCUUCGGGAUGUAAACUUCGCAAGAACAGGAAGAAUAAGUAAGAGUUAAUAUCUCUUACGAUGACGGUACUGUUUGUAAGCUCCGGCUAACUCCGUGCCAGCAGCCGCGGUAAUACGGGGGGAGCAAGCGUUGUUCGGAUUUACUGGGCGUAAAGGGCGGGUAGGCGGCCACCGCAAGUCAGUUGUGAAAUCUCCGGGCUUAACCCGGAAAGGUCAACUGAUACUGCGGGGCUAGAGUGCAGAAGGGGCAACUGGAAUUCUCGGUGUAGCGGUGAAAUGCGUAGAUAUCGAGAGGAACACCUGCGGCGAAGGCGGGUUGCUGGGCUGACACUGACGCUGAACUGCGAAAGCUAGGGGAGCGAACGGGAUUAGAUACCCCGGUAGUCCUAGCCUUAAACGAUGAAUGCUUGGUG